UACAGAGGUCUCAAGCGUUGUUCGGAUUCAUUGGGCGUAAAGCGUACGCAGGCGGCUCGGCAAGUCGAGUGUGAAAUCCCGGGGCUCAACUCCGGAACUGCAUUCGAUACUGCCGGGCUUGAGUGCGGGAGAGGGAAGCGGAAUUCCUGGUGUAGAGGUGAAAUUCGUAGAUAUCAGGAGGAACACCGGUGGCGAAAGCGGCUUCCUGGCCCGACACUGACGCUCAGGCGCGAAAGCGUGGGGAGCAAACAGG
rnacentral:rRNA from 1 species